AUUGAACGCUGGCGGCAGGCCUAACACAUGCAAGUCGAACGGUAACAGGAAGCAGCUUGCUGCUUUGCUGACGAGUGGCGGACGGGUGAGUAAUGUCUGGGAAACUGCCUGAUGGAGGGGGAUAACUACUGGAAACGGUAGCUAAUACCGCAUAAUGUCGCAAGACCAAAGAGGGGGACCUUCGGGCCUCUUGCCAUCGGAUGUGCCCAGAUGGGAUUAGCUAGUAGGUGGGGUAAAGGCUCACCUAGGCGACGAUCCCUAGCUGGUCUGAGAGGAGGACCAGCCCCACUGGAACUGUAACACGGUCCAGACUACUACGGGAGGCAGCAGUGGGGAAUAUUGCACAAUGGGCGCAAGCCUGAUGCAGCCAUGCCGCGUGUAUGAAGAAGGCCUUCGGGUUGUAAAGUACUUUCAGCGGGGAGGAAGGGAGUAAAGUUAAUACCGUUGCUCAUUGACGUUACCCGCAGAAGAAGCACCGGCUAACUCCGUG
rnacentral:rRNA from 1 species